rnacentral:rRNA from 1 species
AUGCGGAGGGUGCAAGCGUUGUUCGGAAUUAUUGGGCGUAAAGAGCAUGUAGGCGGACUGUUAAGUCUGGUGUGAAAGCCCGGGGCUCAACCCCGGAAGUGCAUUGGAUACUGGCUGUCUUGAGUAUGGGAGAGGAAAGUGGAAUUCCGAGUGUAGGAGUGAAAUCCGUAGAUAUUCGGAGGAACACCAGUGGCGAAGGCGGCUUUCUGGACCAAUACUGACGCUGAGAUGCGAAAGCGUGGGGAGCGAACAGGAUUAGAAACCCUAGUAGUCC